rnacentral:sRNA from 1 species
GGCGCUGGUGGUGGCACGUCCAGCACGGCUGGGCCGGGGUUCGAGUCCCCGCAGUGUUG